AAAUCCUCCUUGCGUCCGCAGCGUUAAUUUUUAUAAUUUUGCAAACCGCGAUAUUUCGUACCAAAUCAUCAGUCCCUUGACAAUAUGAAUUAUCGUAUAAAUAAAUGGAUCAAAUUUACAGAUAUCUUUACCUCUUAUAAAAUUGUAAAUCCUUUCUUCGUUAAAACAACUAAAAAAGAGACAGAAAAUAGUGAUCCUUAUUAAUAAUAAUACACAAUGUAUUGCUAGAAAAUGUAGAGAUUGGCAGGUGGAAAUGAAGGUGAGGACAACAAAGCGAGACCAACUUAUUUCAAUAUGAUACACACCUAGAACCUACAAUCAUUUGGUGUUUGAAUUUAAGACCUCUAAAGUGGACGACGAUGUUGGAUUGAAUGCGAAUAACCAGUUGAACG